CUCUGGAGAAUCCCAAUUGGUUGGGUGCCGAAGGGGCAAGGCGAAACAACCUGGUCACAGGCGCGUUUCGUUGAAACUCUCAGGCAAAAGGACAGAGAAA
rnacentral:ncRNA from 1 species